rnacentral:lncRNA from 1 species
GAGCCCAGUUUUCCAGAGCCCCUUCCUUGGGCUCUCUUAUUAGAGAGAAGAAAGAAUAUGUUAGGUGCUUUUUAUGUUAGAUUGUUAUCGAUCCAUACCCUUGUGUAGUUUCCUCUAACUUUGAUCCUGGGCUUAAACAUGAGACUUGUGUUGGCCCAGAAGACCAGUAAAUGUGAUGCAAGCAGAGGCUUUAAAAAUAUUUGCAGAUUGGGACUUGGAGCAACAUUGCCAUGUAAAGAAGUACGGUCUGCUGGAAACAGGUGGCCCAGCUGACAGAUAGCACCAAGUGCUAGACAUGUGAAUGAGGCCACCUUAUAUUACCCAGUCCUUGUUGAGCCACCAUUAUUUCACAGCAACGCAAUUCAUAUGACUGAACCCUUCAAACCUUUCUCUGCUGAAAGAAUGCAUUGUUCAUUUGGAUCAUUGGUUCGAUUCUAAGAACAGUUUAUUCACUGCAUGUGCACAGAAAACCCAAUUCUGAUAUUCCAAGUGCUAAUUAAUUGGUAGAAAUUUUUACUCUUUCUUUCUGCAUUCAAUCUAAGUUUGUAGCACAUUGUAUUAGAACAAGCUUUUAAAACCUUUGAAGCCCGUCCCGUGGGCAGCAUGAUGCCAUGGUUAAAGGAUAUGUCAGGGUUACGGAGUAAGACGGACUAGGGAGUUUUGCCACUUACGGGCUGAUCCUUAGCAACGUCCAUUCAC